UAUGGCGCCCAUCUUGUAUAUUAGCCCCUCCUUCACCUGAAACUGGAUCUGCCACUGUUCAUUAAUGUCAUAAAAAAAUCCUGUAGAAUUUGGGAACAGCCUAACACUGACUCACUACUGCUUCCGAUAUGCCGUGGUAUCUACAGUAGUUGCUUGGGUGAUGCUUUGAGAGACAGAUGCACAGUCACUUCCCUCUCUACUAUAAGCAGUUCUACACUGCAGCCUUGACAAUAAGCCCCCCCACCCCCUACUGGUACCAUGGCAUCUGGAACCAGAGCUAUGACAAGUGUCACCCUAUUUGAUUCAGUCGAGUCUACUAUCAUGGGGAGCAUGCUGCCAACAUGUAAACAGGUGCUUCAUUACUAUUUUCCUCCAUCUUAACCAGAUGACGACGACAAAGGAAGCAGAGGCGGAAACGAUCAAACUAGUGAGUACCUUAUGGGAUCGAGCAUGUAUUCCAAUACAGAAAGUGCAGCAAGCAAGAGAGAAAGUUGUAUGACUACAUGAUUACUGGAAAAGUCUAAAGAAGAACAAAAACAGGCAAACAGAAAAACAACAGAUGAACGAGAAUGAUUUCCUUCUGUCCCUUGAUCGCCUCUUUGACAUUGCACAUGAAGAUGCAAUUUCAAUGAUUACAAUCGCCAAGGACAGGGAGUUUCUAGGAGCACAGAAGGAGGAGGUGCGCAGGGGCACAAUGGCAACAACACAGGACAUGUCUCUUGCACGUUGAGAAGAACAAGGAGAAGAAAGAACAGCGAAUGAAGCGCUCUCAAGCUGAAAAGCGUAAACUGGAAGAAAUAACUGAACUCGUAUCCAGCUCUACAUCAAGUUCCAGCAGCUCCAGUCCCAUUCAUUCCCCUUUUCAGUGUCGUGGUGCAGAAGAGGCUGCUGACAGCUGUGUUGCAGGGCCACCUUCAGUUGUCAUACCCCCAGUAAAGUGCACCAGGAGCUCGAAGAAAAUCAGGAAUGGACAACUCUCAGCCUUGAUGGAUAGAGCCUAGAUAUCCGAUCGUGCAGGAGUUCAUGUGCUUGCAGCAACUGCAAAAACCCUUGGUCAUGACCGCAAAGAGGUGGUGUUAAACCGCAAGUCCUUCCGGCGAGACCGGAUGAAGAAUCGUGCAUAAGCUGCCAAAGAAAUUAAAAAUUUGUUCAGGCCUUUGGUGCCACUGGUUGUGCACUGGGAUGGCAAGAUGGUGCAGACAAUGGCAGGUGGUGCUGCAGCUACAGGUGACUGACUUUCUGUUCUGGUAUCAGGAUAUGGCGCUGCAAAGCUAUUGGGAGUCCCAAUCCUUCCCAGUGGCACUGGACAAGCAACGGGCGAUGCUGUGAUGGCUGCUCUCGAAAACUGGAGAGUAAUGGAUCGCAUUUCUGCCCUAUUCUGUGACACCACAGCUUCGAACACAGUGAUUUCGGCAGGGGCAUGUGCCAUAAUUGAGGCUAGGACGGAAACUGGUCGGAUCUAGCCCCGCUUCCGAGCAGUCAGGCUGGCGGCGGAUGCUCAAACGGUCGUAUCUCAACAUUUGGUCCUAAAUCCGCCAUUGUGGUUGCAAGUGCUGCCCCGUGCGAUGUUCAAAAAACGUCCUAGACGCCAUCUUGUGACGUCAGGUCGCCCCUCAGCCUGACUGCUCGGGAGCGGGGCUAUAUCCGACCAGUUUCCGUCCUAGCCCGUCGCCAUUAAAGGAGUGUUUCCGCCUCAUCCACAUCUCCACCUCUAUACACAAUAUAAGAUGGAGCUUGUUGCGGCAUACAUUUUCAAUCGAAGACUGUGCAGGGAAAGGAGAUAUCGGGACCCACUCAACCCACUACAUGUCAGUGAUGAACACCUGUUGCAGGUGUAUAGAUUUCCCCGUCAGGAAAUCAUCAGGCUUUGUGAUGAGUUUCGCCCCCACCUGGAAAGGAGAACCAGGAGGGCACAUGCACUCCCAACACACACCUAGGUUCUGGCUACACUAAGGUUUUUUGCGAGUGGCAGCUUUCAAGGUGUUAUUGGAAACGGUGUUGGAAAUGACCAAUCAAGGGCCAUUGAUAAAGUAACUCGGGUACUUUGUGAAAAGGCCAGUCAUGAGAUAAAGAUGUCAACCACAGCAAUAGAUAUUAAUAGAAUUUUUAAGAUAGUUUUCAUGCAUUUCAUGAUAAAUAAUGCAUUAAUGAAUUUUCAACUUCACAGGAGACACUGCGUAUCCUCUGGAGCCAUUCCUGAUGACCCCAGUUGCACGGCCGACAACACCUGGGGAGGAGCGCUACAACAAGUCAUCACAGGACAAGAUGCAUUGUCGAACGGACCUUUGGGAUCCUCAAGUCAAGGUGCAGGUGCCUACAUAAGUCAGGAGGAAGUUUGCAGUAUGACCCCAAGAAGACUAUGAAGAUUGCGACUUCUUGUAUGCUCCUGCACAACUACUGAUUGCAUCGCUGCAGAAGAAGUAACAGUUCAGCCUGUGAGAAACAACAGACUGAUUCCUGGUCAAGUUGUCAGGCAGGAAUUUAUUAGAAACUUCUUUUCCUGAGUAUAGAUUGCAUAUGGUGCACCGGUGGCCGAGUGGUCAGCGUGUGUACGUGGUGAUCCAGAGGACUCGACUCCCACCGCAAGACGCUGAGAGUUUUCAACCAUUGACAAGUGGCGGAGGGUUACCAACAUGCUGCCCGGCAGAUCUUCAGUCAACCCUAACUUCAGCGUCUUUGAUCAAGAGGGGCACCACCUCCACACCACUCAUUCUUAUCACCUAGUUUGAUACCCUACUUGUCCAUCUCACAUGCCCCAUGUAUCUCAGCAUUCUGCACUCUUGGCUCCAUGUCAUCCUCUCCAACUUGUUGGUUCGUAUAGCAUAACCGGCCUCACAUACAUAGAAGUGUUCAAUAUACCUAGGCUAUAAUAUUAUAUUUAAGGACUCUUAUACGAGGUAUCGCCCCAGACAGAGGUGUCGAAGUAAGUCUGUCUGAUGGUAGGCUGGCUGACUGCUGUCGGGACCCAAGCCAGCAUGCC